rnacentral:pre_miRNA from 1 species
AGUGGCAUAGCUGGGUCAAAUGAUGGUCCCAUUCCAUGUUUUCUAAGGAAUCUACACACUGCUUUCCAUAGUGGUUGCACCAAUUUGCAGUCCCACCAGCAAU